CGGCGGGGCCGGCGCGCGUUACAGCCCGGAGCCCCGCGGAGCCGCAGCCCCCGGGGACCUGGGCGGUUUGGGGUUUGUCUGUGAUUCGCCCGUCGAAAGCCAGCGCUGGGCCUCUUGGGGAAGGGCAUGCUGCGGCCUGUCCCCCUGCCCCGAGGGGACCCAGGGCCUGCCCCUAAAUCUGAGGUCGGAUGUUGGUCCCAUCAGGUGGCUGGCUGGGAGAGACCCAGAGGGUCCACCUGCAGUGCCCGAAGGCUCCGCACCCACCGCAGACCCUCUUCCCACCCCGGCUGCUGGUCACACUUCUGCGUAGUGCCACCACCGCUCCCCCAUCCGCGACAGCAGCGUUAGAGGUCUCAAGGUCAGACCUUCCGCCUCGUCUCCCUGCCCCACACAUUCUCUUACACACCUGGCAAUAUUUAGAAAGGACUGUGAAUGCUCACAAAGGAAGUUGGCGUGGAGGUAAAACAUCAGAACAAUGAGGAGUUCUCUAAGAGAGGGCAUUUUUGGAAAAGGCACAAUGGUUGGGUAAAAAAAUGGGCGGCACUGUGAAGAGUUCCUGCUUGAUUCAUUUAUCACAGCUUCAACAACAACAAACAACAACAACGGCAAAAAAGAAAGUUUAGGGGAAUCUUACAGUCGUCAGAAGUUUUUUCAAAGUUAAAGGAAAUUCCUUCAUCCCUACAGCCAGCAGAGGUCUUGUGACAGCUACUCCACAGUGCGAGAACCCAGACAUGGCAGCAAAUACCUACUCCUCAGAUGCGAAUUUACAGAGAAAUUCAGUCACCUUCCAGAGGAUAGGAGAUAUCAUCGGAAGCACAUUUCUACAUUCCUCAUGUCCCCAGGUGACAGUACUUAUUGUCAUCAGAAGAAUAGAGGGCACAGAUGUACAUCUCUCCAUUCGUAAGUAGAAUUCUUUGUGCUACACUGUAAAGCUCACUAUUUUUGUACUGUGAAAGAAAGGAAUUCUAAGCAAAGUUAGUGUUUGCUAGUUAUGAAAAUUUGACAAGUCCUCUAAAGCAGUGUCACCGUAUAGCUCAUUUGGUCAUGUAAUUAUAGGGAUGAAUAUUGGAGUGUCAAGGUUUCUAUUAAUACUGAUUCUGUUAGGUUUAGAAACUUCACCAUAACUGUCUUGGAAAGUAAUACAAAGCUGUUCAUUGGGAAACUUCUAAUAAAUGAAAAGCAUUUCAAAUCCUGAA